AGGCUCUCGCAUCGAUGAAGAACGCAGCGAAAUGCGAUAAGUAAUGUGAAUUGCAGAAUCCAGUGAAUCAUCGAAUCUUUGAACGCACCUUACGCUCUUUGGUAUUCCGAAGAGCAUGCCUGUUUGAGUGUCAUGAAACUCUCAAGGGGAUACAUUCAUUUGUGUAACCUUGGACUUGGAAGUUGUCGGCGCAAGUCGACUCUUCUCAAAUGCAUUAGCUUGGGUUUUUCGUAUGAGGAUCCUCGGUGUGAUAAUUAUCUACGCCUUGUUGUCCCUUCGAGCUCUGCUUCUAGUCGUCGUUUAUUCGACAAUCUAUUUCAUUCUCUGACCUCAAAUCAGGUAGGACUACCCGCUGA
rnacentral:misc_RNA from 1 species